rnacentral:lncRNA from 1 species
UAAAAUGAAUAAAGUACAACAAUACAAAGAAUUAAAACAAAUUAUUUCUGAAAAACGUAAAGAAUUAAAAAUAAGAAUAAAAAGACUACAUUAUAAUAUAUUUGCCGGAGUUAGUAAAAACAUGUUUCCUACAAAUACAAAACCAAGACCAAGCAUAAAUCACCAAUAUAAUCGCAAAAGAAAAACUAAAAAUAAAAUUGUUUCCAAAUUUUAAGUCACCAGCAGCGUCGCCAAAAAGUUGACAAUGCCUAAUCAUACACGCAAAUUUACGUAAUCCACCAAGUAAUAUAGUGGCCUUAAAGAUAUCCAAUCAUUGAGACUUGUUACAACAACUGUCAAAUUCAAGUUCACUUAUUAAGAUUAAUUUGAUGCAAAGUAACCAAAAAGAGUUUUGAGAUUUGUAAAACUAAACGUAAAGUAAACAAUGUAUAAAAAAAAGACAUUAGACAAUCAAUAGAGUAAAGCCCAGGGUUAAAGACCUUAGAACAAUCAUACUAAGUUAUUGAACUUCAUUCUUUAAGUCUCUUAUCAUGGUUGUUGAUUUUUAGGGUUUAUCACAUGGUCAUGGUCUCCCGACCUCUAAUCAUCUACCUAACUUGAAUAUUACACAACAUUGUUGAGCGGGGAUGUGAUAAUCCAAUUAGGUGCUUAAAGAUAUCAUCCUAUAUGUGAACCAAGCAAGGAUUCUAGGUACAUCCCUAUCCUAGACGCUAAUUAAAUUCAUUAUUUCAUAAGGAAAUAAGAAUAUUUCUUCGUUUAUCCUCACGUAUUAUCUUCAAAUUCCUCAUCCCGAGAUCAAAAUGUCGACAAUGUGUAUUCUAAGGUAAGAUACUCCAUAAAAUAGUUAAAACAAGGAUUAAAAAAUAACCAAAUAUGGUAAGAAAAUCAACGAACUCCAUUUAAAAUUGUAGUAGUCCUUUUUUUGGCUUUAACCUCAAAAGGGGGUAUUUUGCCACUAAUCUACAUAAUGAUGAUCAAAAUAAUUGAAUACAUAGUCAAAUAUAUUUAAAAGAUACAGUUUAAAAAUAUAAACCCUAAAUAAAGUGUUUAAAAGCCCAUCAUAAUGCUCCAAGAUGCCAAAAGGUGUAUAACAAAGUGUGCACAAGUUAUAUUUAUAGUUGGAAAGAUUUUUGUCAUCAUGUGAGUGAGGGGGCGUAACACCCAUGGGUGCACCAGACUGCCUAGGGCAUUGCUGGAUUUAUUGAAUAUCUCUAAUGGAGGCUUUUUGGGCUCCAUAGACUACUAUAUUUGAGGCGUCUUGGACUAAUCUCCAACAAAAACUGGAGUUGGACAAUUGCUCAAAUAUUUGUCUAAGUGUUCCACUUCUUAUCCUCUUGCCUUGUGCUUUUGUUUUGCAUUGGUUUUAAGAUUUUAUAUCUUAAUAAUAUCAUACACAUCAACUAAUUAAGCAUGCUAUAUGAUGAAAAACCACACAUUAGAGUUCAACAAAACACAACCUCAAUAAUUGCAAACUAGAAAGUCAAUCUAAGAACUAGUCUCAACCACUUUAUGCUUUUAUAAAUUGUUGACUAUUGGCUUAUUGUAAUAAAUUUUGCAUGCUCUAAACAAGUUUUCCCACAUAAUAUUACACAUUAAAACCAUAAGGAACUCAUUUAACAUACUAGAAUCCACUUGGACAAACUAGAACGACACCUAGCUCAAGCUAGUAACACUAGUUUUCUCGUUUGAACUCUAAGUUACUCAAUUAAGCUCAAACUUGUUUGAAAACACUUUUACACAUUGCAAUAACAUACUUGAACAAUUACAUGCUUAUUUAUAUCAUCCUAAACACAUAAAGCUCAUGAAUUGUCCUCAAAACAAGGGUAAAUAGGAUAGGAAACAACACUAUAGUGCAUAAAUACAUUAAACAUCAAAUAAUCUAUUUGAAUUAUUAAAUAUCCGCACCCCCCUACAAUUGGUAUCAGAGCCCAGUAAUUCAAAAAAUAUGGAAGUGAGAUAUAUGUUGUUAGAGUUAUGUUGUUAGAGUUAUGUUGGUAGAGUUAGAGUUAUUAGAAUUAUUAGAUUUACCUAUAAAUUAUUAAAUUAAUUAUGCGAAGACCAUUUAAAGAUAGAAAAGCUUUUAGAAAAAUUAAAGAAUCUUUAAUUAGUAAUUAUUUAGAAUAUAUAAGUCUAAAUAAAACAAAAGAAAACCCACAAAGAUUAGCCUACUUAAUUACAUUAAUAUCUAAUAUUGAAUCAAAAUUAAUAAUCCAUUUAAAAUCUAGAAGAAUGAAAUGCAUACCACCUAAUUAUGAUAACAUUAGAUUUAGAUAUCCGCCAAGAUAUUAUAAAUAUAAUUUAAAGUCAAUAAAAUACAACAAUACAAAAAACUAAAACAAAUUAUUUCUGAAAAACGUAAAGAAUUAAAAAUAAGAAUAAAAAGACUACAUUAUAAUAUAUUUGCCGGAAUUAGUAAAAACUCAAUAGAUACGCAAAAAGAUGAAAUAUCAAAAUUAGAAUCACAAAUAGAUAGUUUAGAAUAUAUAUAUCAACAUGAACUAUUCACAAUAAAAUGAACAAAGAAGAAUUUAUAAUAGAUGAAAAAAUAUAUGAAAA